AUGCCAGCUCCCUGCCAUCCGAGAACUAAAUGUCAACUGUAAUUUUUAAUGACGAUUAGUUAACCCUUUCAGCCCACCGCCUGAGUCAUGCGCCGCACAAAAAUUACUCCCCCUUCAAGCCCUAAUUUCCCCAUACAGAACUUUUCAGCCUGAGUUCUCAAAGCGUUUGACAUGGCAAAGUCGCCACUUUCCGACCUCACGGACGUGGAAGCGACUUCUCCGUGCCGCAUGAGGCAGCAGCGCCGGGGAAGCCCCUGGCCACGUCCAGAGUCUUGGUCAGCAAAACGUGCUUCCCCCAGCUUUGUCACCCGAUAGAGUACCGUGCUGGCUAAAUAAAUGGACAGUACACGAUCAUGAGAACAGCUUUGUGCUGUAGAGUGGAAUUCUGUUCUAAAAGCUCCCGGGUGGAGCACCUUGGAACUUGAGGAGCCGUACUUUCUCUGGAAGUUUCAGGAGGGUUUUCAGGAAUUUGCUACUAUCUCUAAAAUGGGGCAAUGCCUGAGAGAAAAUUACAAGAGGAAAACUAUUCAUUGUCGUAGUUUAUUAACCUUAUGCUGAUGCACAGGGGGUGCAAGGGGAAUUUUACACACUUGGCAUCUGUUCUUGAUGGGAAUGGGAAGCAGCGUAGUGUAACAAUCUCUUCCUCUGUCCUUGCUCUGUCCAUGGUUCCCGCUCGGACACACAUCAUUCCCUUGGCCUCUGGAUGUCUCCACCCAUAUCACUCACCCACAGCAGGCGCUCAACGCUUUGGGAGCCCCAAGGCCCCACAUACAGCAUCCCUCCAUGAGUGUGGCAUUCUUGUAUGCGUACACAAUUACCCCAGAACUCAGCCGCCAGCCCUGCCGUUCCUCCUUCUCGGUAGCUGCAGAAACUGAGCACGGCCGGUCCUUUCCGAGCGGUUCUGGGGCCGGGAGCAUCCCCCGCUCGCUCCCCGCAGCCCGGGAGCGGCGGGACGGGCUCGGCGCUGUCCGAGGUGCUGAUCGCGGCUGGCGGAACAAACACACCGGGCCGGGCGGGGCUCGGGGGAAAGGAAAUGUCACAGAUCGGACAGAGUGUUCUGCGUUGGAAGGGACCCACAAGGGUCACCGAGUCCAGCUCUUACAUGGAUGGCUCAUACAGGGUUUGAGCCCACGACCUUGGUGUUUUCAACACAAUGGCCUGAUGGCUUAGCCAAUGGCAGGGCAAGGUAUGCCUUAUUGCCACUAUCACUGUACUGGGAAACAAAUGACCUUUCAGACAAAUAAGACAUCUUUUAUUCUUCUUCACAAGAGUUUGGCUGUUAUGCCGUAGCUGCCUGUGGUGGUGUUUAUAUUUUUCCUAUUAUGUUCUAUAUAUUCCUUCAUAUACAUCACUGCAAAUGAUGUUUCCUUAGUAUACAGUGACACAGGAACACCACCUUCCUAAAUGAAAUCCCAUAAGUAGCAUUUUUAUGUCUCAAAGUGCAUACCUAUAAGAAAACAUACUCCUUAGCAUAUUGCAAAUAUAUUUACAAGGUAUCUUCUCAUGUUCUGCUAAAUGCAACAAGGCUUAGAGAAGUGAUUUCUUAAACAAAUGCUCUUGGAACAGCUAAUUCCAGAGCACACAAGAUGAGGGAUUAUUCUCUGUUAAGUCCUAAGUAAUACAGAGUAGCUGGUUCAAGUAGUAAUUAUAGAAUAUGAAAGCGAUGAACAACAGUGACAACAUUAAUUUCAACAUUCUUGAGGAAUAAAAGGUCCCAGUCUAUUUUGGGAACACGAUGUCUGAAAACAAUAUUCUGCAAAACUAAGAAACCUACUUAAGAGAGAGUAAUAAGAAUUACCUGCUACCAUUUAACAGCACUAGAGCAAACAUGUAGGAUCACAAAGGCCUGUUUACUAUUGGAUAAAAAAAAGAAGUUGAUGAAAGAAGAUAACAUCACAUACUCAAACACUAGAUGAGUUAAUUCCCCUUCAGAAAAAUGAAAGCUCAAUGAGGUAUUUUAUACCAUGUCAGCAACACACUAGGUGUAAAUGAUUAAAACUUUUUAAAGAACUAAGAUAUUUUAUUAAAUUAACAACAGAGAUUUUUUGUAAGAAUAACAUUAGAAACAAGAAGGCUUGACAUAAUCAGUAGGUCUACUGCAUCACAAAAAACAAAGGAAUGAAUAAAGGACAAGAAAAUGGCACAGAAAAAGUUACUAAUUUCUUCACAUUUCGUCUCAACAUAAAAGAGUUUGGCAAAUACAGGAUGGCAGCAUAUACAGAGUGUGGUCACAUAAGGAGGAUUCUUUAUAACAAGGUAUUGGAAAAUGAUGAGCUAAAGAGCAAUAAACCAUGAGUACAUUAUACUGUACUUCCAAAAUUCUGACAAUUUCAAAAUGGUACAGCUGGUGUGCUUUGAAGAGAAAAAUGCAACUGCUUUAUAAAAUCAUGUGUUAUGUCGAAGCAUCAUCCAAUUCUGUAACCAUUUUAAAAACAAGUUCUAUUAUAAACUUGGUAACUACAAAUACAUGUUUUCUUUUGGUACUGAUUGAUGAACUCUAUAUAAUGGUUGACAUUAAAAUAUAAAUUAUAUGUGUAUAAAUUUAAAUAUUAUUGACAUUAUUUUUUCUGUUUCUGCAAGCUAAAUCACACCUUGAUAAUUAUAGGAAUCGUAUUAAUUUGGAGAACAUUCAUGUUAGCCACUGGAAGAAACAGGCAACCUUUUGAAAAUACAAUGAAAAUGUCACAAUACAGACAGCAACCAAAGCCACGAUACAUUUAUUCAGAGAAAAUCUAUUUAGAAAUGUCAUUAGGCAAUGGUUUCCCAACUUAGGUCUGGCAAAGGGAUGAAUAAGAUAGAAACAUUAUUGAAAUUAAAUGAAUCCCCAAUUAGUAUAGAAAGCAAUAAUUUCUGGACAUUUGGAAGUAGUGCAAGUACAUCAGUGAACAACAUCAGCUGAAACUUCUUUUUAAUCUGCAGAUAAUGAAAAACUACUGUGUUUCUGACUGCCAACAAAGUGACACCAAGAUGCAUUCUGAUGCCUCUCAGUGGAGCACUCAGUUUUAUUCAGAAAUGUCACUGUGUUUACACACCAUGGGUCCAACCAACAUACACACAGCUUGGAUCUAAACAGCUUUCUUCAGUGUGCAUUUUAGGUAAAAUUAUGUGUAUACUGAAAUUAUUCACCUAGGUGAUUAGAAGAACUUGUAUCAAGACCAGCAUUUGACAUAGCACAGGACAACCUCAACAAGGUUUAAAGGUUUACAUGCAGCACAAGGUUUAAAUGCAGCACAUAAAGGGAUGGUAGUUAAAUCCCAAGGUAUUUUCUAUCAAUAGACUUAUGAUAAAAAUCUAAUUCUGAACUCUUAAAAUAAAUUUCAACUGUUGACUAAUGACUAAAUAUAGAAUGCAACUUACUUUAAAGUAAGCUAUCUGAGGCUCCAUUUUAUGAUAUGAUCAAAACCAAUGUGAAGCAACACCUUUGCCCACAGUCAUAAUUUUUAUAUCUGUUUUAAAUCCUUUCUUUACAACUAGGAUAGUGUAGGAAGAUCAACCCCAAAACAUGUUGUUAAUAUUGUUUGGAGAAUUAAUCAAAAUUUCAGCUAGCUGAUGAUAAUCAUGAGAUUAAAAUUGUGGGGUCAAGCUGACCUCCUUUUCACAGUAGUUGACAAGGUUUUCAAAAUACAGUGCACAGUACUGACUUUGCAAAAGGUCUCAAAAAGCUUAGCUGUCAAAAGGAAUCAUGAAACAUCUUAACCAUAAGUCUGCAUAGCAUCCACAUAGCAUCAACAUACAAUACUGCAGGUUUAUAAAAUAUGACAUAAUUUACUA